CAGUAUUAUACUUUCAGGGAUCAUUUCUAUAGGUUUUGUUUGGAGAAAUGUGUUUGAAAGUGAACAAACUUGCUUUCCAUGAUGAUGAGCUUGAGUGUUUUUUCUUCAGUUUGAAGACUGUAAGCGAUGCUGUUUUAAAGCAGCUGUUGUUUACUAUUGAUGAUUGUUCCACUUUUUGUAUAGAAGUGUUGGCGAGAGAAAACACAAGCUGAGUGGC